rnacentral:lncRNA from 1 species
CUAAACUGAAUUUUUCCUUUCAGUCAACAUUAGGGUUUUAAACACUAAACUGAAUUUUUCCAUUCAGCCAGCAUUAGGGUUUUAAACCCUAAACUGAAUUUUUCCUUUAGUCAGCAUUAGGGUUUUAAAACCCUAAACUGAAUUUUUCCAUUCAGCCAGCAUUAGGGUUUUAAACCCUAAACUGAGCUUUUCCAGGUAGCCAGCAUUAGGGUUCUAAACCCUAAACUGAAUUUUUCCAUUAGUCAGCAUUAGGGUUUUAAACCCUAAACUGAAUUUUUCCUUUAGUCAACAUUAGGGUUUUAAACCCUAAACUAAAUUUUUUCAUUCAGCCAGCAUUAGGGUUUUAAACCCUAAACUGAGAUUUUCCAGGUAGUCAGCAUUAGGGUUUUAAACCCUAAACUGAACCUUUUUCCAUUCAGCCAGUAUUAGGGUUUUAAACCCUAAACCGAGCUUU